GGACGAGACUUCAAUGCCGCUUCUUUUUGCUCUGGAAGCACCUGAAGCGUUGGCACGAAGGCUGAAGGCAUCAUGAGGGUCUCUGAGCUACACCCCACCCGCUGCGGGCACCUGCAUCCCGUAAGCCCCCUCCAAGGCAGCGCACUCACACCAUCAGGUCGGCUUUGUUGCUACCUUUCAGCCGUGCCGUUGCGGUGCUGCAGAACUCGGCAUUGCUGCCUGCAGCGCUGCCAUGGUGGUACUUGAUUCCCAGCUCAGGGCUCCUGCUCUGCAUUGCCCGAUCCACUUGGCACAGCUCUGGGGGCAGAACGGAACCCAAAGGAGGCUCUGGACGAUGGACUUUGCUACAGGGAAACCUAAUGCUACCACAGAAAGGGAAGUGAUCAUGGUGUAGCAAUGUGAACUGCCACACAUGGCAAAGCUCGUUUUCCCACCGAGAGCUGGUGUUUUGUGGGACCACAACCUGGUCCCACGAAAGAAGGCAACCUUUCUCCAGUCCACGUAGCAAAACCCCUUCCCACCUUUUCUCAGGCAAGCCUGUCCCUGUGGUACAUGCCCAGCACUCCGGGGAAUCCUACACAGUGCCAUGACCCAAAUCAGCACCCAAGCCUGCCUCACUGCAAAGCAUGCCUGUAAUUUCAACUUGAUGCUGUUCUUUCAUGCAGCAGCUACUGGAAGGCUUGGGGAUCAAGUGCUGUAGGUGUAUGCUUAACACUGCUGAAGUCACUUUGAUCUUCUCCGAGGACAGAAUUUUCUGCAGAUUAAAUUCUCAGCUCUGAACGAUGAGAUCUGAUCCUGGGAGUGAGACAGACUGAAAGCACCAGGCACUGCUGGUGCCAUGCUGCUGUGCUCAUACCUGCCCAAAAGCAAGUUAAAAUGCAAGUCUGGGAGACUUUGUCACAGAGUUUUACCACUGAACAAUACUGAAACGUGUCAAGAAUUAGACAGAACUGCGUGGGAUGCACUCUCUACUCACAGAAAUGUGUGUUUUUCUGGGCACAGAGGAGGUGCUGAGCACCAUCAAUGAACUGACUAUAACGCUAGAAGCAAAUAUUAUGUGACGGAUUUCAUUUGCCAGCAGGGUGGCAAAAUGUCUGUCCAAAGAAGUGCAAACAACGCCCGCCGACCCGCUGAAAUCAGCUGGUGCCAUGCAGCUGCAGGUGGUCACACCUUUGUUUUUCUACAGAAAGUGAAUAUGUAGUUGGAGUUUCCUUAUCUAAGUAGGAAUACCAUCACCUUUGAUCAGGGUUUGUGAGCGAGGGAUAAAGAAGAAGCAGUCUGAUGCACCCACUUGCUAUGGAACUCGGGUCAUUCUGCAGAGGCAAGACGUAUGGGAAACUGUUUUUUUUUUCCUUUGGACAGCUGGUCUCUCCUCUUGACCCCAUUAUGGUGCCCGUGUGGAACUGCCACCCUCUCACCCAGACCUUGGGGCUGCCCAUCACAUCCCACCUGGCUGGGCACCUCCGUGACACCUCCAGUCUGCCCACAGCGAAAGGGUUCAGACACAUGGUUCCUGUCUGUUUUGCACUAACCACCUGCCAGCAAGGUUCGGUGUUACUCAUGAAGGCCAUCCACCCCUGUACACAAUUCUGCCUUCAGCACCGCAUACACACACACUCUGGUCACGCUCUGCAGACCCAGCCCAGAGCUUCUCCGAACAUCAUCACAAAUCACCCUCUGGGAUAUGGUUGCUUACAACAAAUUUAUUUCAACGGAAUUGAAAAACCCUCUUGUUCUGGAGCACAAUUAAUGAAGAGUUGAGGCUGUGUUCAUCUUCUAGUUCCCCACAUCUUUCAUCCCCACCCUGCCCACAUAAUACCUCUGCCUACCUCUGACACUGACGGCAGUGCUAGGCUGCAGAAUAACAGUCCUUUCAACUGAAGAAAAACAAGAGAGAGACACUCAGACAAUAAUUUUAGAAGUGCAUUGUUUCCUGUAGAGCCUCAGUCCUUUCACUCCCAGAACUUGGGCUGACCUGCAUUAGGCACAGACUGCUAUAAAAACGGCCCUCCCUGCGGGUUUGCUGCCCCGUCAUCAUCUCCUUGGGCUCAUCGAGGCGGCACACAGCAGUGCGUGCGUGGCACAGAGCGUGUCACUGGCGCAGCAACCGGUGGGUGAAUCAUAAUGAAACUAUGAAGAGGAAACAUGUCACAAAGGAAAGCUCGCUUUUCAGUGGAGUGCUUCAUCUACAGAAGAGUGCUCAAGUUAAGGAUGCCGAUGAGAGAAUUAACUUGUGCCCUGGUCACUUAAUGCAGCGUUUUAUGCAGUUAUUUACCGGUUCUGUUGCUAUGGGAAAUGUGAAUACUUGCCAUGACAACUGCAGCAGAUCGUGGCACACAACCCACUUCAGCACUGCGUCUUCAUAAGGAAACGCUCCCAUUCAUACGUCCUACAAAUUCUGUGUCCUUGACAGCAGCUCAGCGUGGGGUUUUUAGGCGCAGCCAUUGCUUUUCUGUGUUUUACAGUGGGGUAUUGCCUUGUGUCUAAAAUUGGUUAUUACCUAUUUCUUAGGUAGCUCUUCAAUAUUAGACCUUAAAGCACUUUGCAAAGGUAAACCUUAAAAAAAAUAUAUUAAAAUUAAAAUUAAAAAAAAAAUACAAGAAAAACCCUCUGCUUAAUUUACAGAUGAGAAAAUCAG
ensembl:lncRNA